AACGAUAACAAAUAAUCUGAGAUGCUCAGGACUUCCACGUGCUCCUCAGCCACCUCUCCAGCCACGGCCCGAAGCAACUCAGUUGUCUCCCCAUCUUUGGCAGCAGCCAGUUCCUGACAGGGCUCCUGCAGCAGCAUCUUCAAGGGGCCAAAGGUGUAAAUCCUGGUAGAAGUGCUCGGCAUGGGAUGGCACAGAGAGGGGCUGUCAGGAUGGGUGGCACUGGGAUGGGGUUUGAUGCUUUUAUUACCCUGAGCCUCAAACUGGGAUAGUUUGUCUCUCUGGCUUGGCACAUGGGUUGCUACUGCUCUGGCUGGUGAGGUUUAACACAAGUAGAUUUUAAGCUGAGCCCAAAUCCUCUGCUAAAAAGUACUGAUAAUUGACAGCUAGAUGAUGCCAGAGUAGAAGUGCUGCAGGCAACAAAAGGCAUGGUAACCAGCCCUGAACUGACUUAAAGAACAGCUGGAGAAAGGAAAAUGUUAGAGGUUUAACACAUGACCAGGGAAGAGGUGAUUGACACUUUAUUCCCAAACAUCUAAAGCAGAUAAAAGCGAGGAACGGAUGUCGUCUGCCAUGAUUGCCAGAGCAGGGCUUUUGCCUCUGAGCCCUGUGGGACAACAGACCUUUCAUGUUUGUAUAAUGUGAUCCAGGAGUCGACCUUUCUUUGAGAUCCUAAUAUGAGUCACAGAGCAAAUUCUCUGAUUUGGCCUGAGAUUGCCAAGUAUCGGAAGGGGAUUUCCUAAAUUAUGUGCUUGGAUCUGGAGUCAAAUAGCCCCUUGGCAAAGGCUAAGUAAAAUGGAGUGUCUCUUGGUGUGAUAUGUUCAAAACAGUGUAAUUUCUUAACUGGCCUUCCCUUUCUCCCCUCAACACCCUCCCCCCCCCCCCCCCCCGUUCCUAUCAUGGAAAUUUUCUUGGCAAAUGACUUCCAUUUCCUUUUGAUUUAUUUAGGCACCAGCCCUGUGAAUUUGGCAGCUGGCCUGGUACAAGCAGGUCUGAUGCCAAACUCAGAGCUGUGUCAUCUGUCAGAGCAAUUUGUUCUCAGGGAGGGAAGGAGAAGUUGUUUUCCAGCAGAAGCGGGUUGGCUGUGGCCACAGGAGCACACUGAAGCCUGUAGCAGCAGGGAACAGGAUUUAUCCUGGUGUGAUCCUCACACCAGCAGGAAGUUUGCAUCGGGAAUAUGCAGGGACCAUGAGGUAAUUGUGUUGCUCUCAGAGAACCCCAAGUCAGGGGCAGGAGAUAUUAAACAGGCCUGUGGAUGUGUAGCAGAAGUCAUCCUGGCAACAUCUUGCAGAUUUUAACACAAAUCUCUCAGAUCCUGGAAGACACACAAGCACGUGGCUCUCAGUCUUAAUGACUGAGAAAAAACCUGCCUGUUUCAGAUUCUGUUGGUGUUUCACUGUUUAACCCUGUCCGUGUGAAAUCGAACAGCCUUCUGGCUGCCAGUGGGAAGCAGAGGGCACUUCUCUGUAUUCAGUCCCAAGCGAGGUGUUGUAGUUGCCAGGCAUGAGAGCACAGAGAACACGGCAGAGUUUGCUUAGCCUUGCUAAGGCACUUGAAAAGCAGCUGGGGAAAGAGAGAAAAAACAGUCUUCCAGUUUCAUUAUUUUUACAACCUCAUUUUUUAGCUAGUCAGCAUAACUCACACUGAGCCUCUGCCAAGCAAAACACAGUUAUUCUUGUUUGGGGUUUGCCUGUGAUUUCCAUGGGAGUGGUGGGCCUGGAGGGGGCUGGCUGGGGUUUGACUCCUGUGCUUUGGUCGGCUGCACUGGAAAUGUGUCCUGCUUUCACAGAGACAGUGGUGAUGGGGCACACUCUGCUCAGGGGCUUUUUUUUACAAGUUAUUUUAGGUAUCUGCAGUUAACACCCUCACCCUUACAGUGCUCACCUUUCUUUAAAAUAAUGUCUUAUUACUUUUAAAAAAAUCUGUUUUCCUCUCCAUGUUAGAUGACAAGACUCAGAAAAACUAGUGAAGAAAACUCUCUCUGUGCACAGCAAUUGUACAAAGCAUUGGGAAGCACGCAGAGAAAAACUGCUGGAAGAAAAUGGCACAGUGUCUGAGUUUUGUAAGGAGGUGAGACCACCUGUGUGAUGAGUGUUGUUGCAAUAAGGAAGAAAAAAUUCAAGCAAAAAGGAGACUUUCUCACUUUAAAAAUUACUUUUAACUUUGUUUUUAAAACUUCCUAGAAAUGUAGCUGAAAUAGCCAUAGGCUGGAAGUGACUGGCUGCAAAUGGAAAAAAUCUGCUACACAUGUGCAGCUGAAACGCAGAGCCUGAGCAAGGUACGUGGUCCACUCGAGGG
rnacentral:lncRNA from 1 species